ACCUGCCCAUAAGACUGGGAUAACUCCGGGAAACCGGGGCUAAUACCGGAUAACAUUUUGAACUGCAUGGUUCGAAAUUGAAAGGCGGCUUCGGCUGUCACUUAUGGAUGGACCCGCGUCGCAUUAGCUAGUUGGUGAGGUAACGGCUCACCAAGGCAACGAUGCGUAGCCGACCUGAGAGGGUGAUCGGCCACACUGGGACUGAGACACGGCCCAG
rnacentral:rRNA from 1 species